UAGGGAAUUUUCCGCAAUGGACGAAAGUCUGACGGAGCAACGCCGCGUGUACGAUGAAGCCCCUUUGGGGUGUAAAGUACUUUUGUAGGGGAAGAUAAUGACGGUACCUUACGAAUAAGGGACGGCUAAUCACGUGCCAGCAGCCGCGGUAAUACGUGAGUCCCGAGCGUUAUCCGGAAUCAUUGGGCGUAGAGGGUUUGUAGGAGGACAGAUAAGUAAGAUGUUCCAGCUCACAGCUUAACUGUGAGAUUGCGUUUUAAACUGUUUGUCUAGAAGAUAGUAGAGGUCAGUAGAAUUCUCGGUGUAGGGGUAAAAUCCGUAGAUAUCGAGAGGAAUACCAAUAGCGAAGGCAGCUGACUGGGCUAUUCUUGACUCUGAGGAACGAAAGCGUGGGGAUCAAACAGG
rnacentral:rRNA from 1 species